rnacentral:tRNA from 1 species
GGUUGUGGCUCAGUGGUUGAGCACUCGCCUGGCAUGUGCGAGGCCCUGGGUUCGAGCCUCAGCACCA